rnacentral:rRNA from 1 species
AUUGAACGCUAGCGGGAUGCCUUACACAUGCACGUCGAACGGAGUGGCGAACGGGUGAGUAAUGUAUCGGAACGUGCCCAGUAGCGGGGGAUAACUACGCGAAAGCGUAGCUAAUACCGCAUACUAUUGGAGCGGCCGAUAUCGGAUUAGCUAGUUGGUGGGGUAAAGGCUCACCAAGGCGACGCUCCGUAGCUGGUUUGAGAGGACGCCCAGCCACACGGGGACUGAGACACGGCCCAGCCUCCUACGUGAGGCAGCAGUGGGGAAUUUUGGACAAUGGGGGAAACCCUGAUCCAGCCAUCCCGCGUGUGCGAUGAAGGCCUUCGGGUGGUAAAGCACUUUUGUCAGGAAAGCGGUACCUGCAGAAUAAGCACCGGCUAACUUCGUGCCAGCAGCCGCGGUAAUAC